GUAUGUGUGGUGAUUAGGCAGUGUAUCGUUAGUUUGCUGUUGAACUUAAACCAGCAGCUAUGUACACUACCACAUCAGCAUAUGACGC
rnacentral:pre_miRNA from 1 species